rnacentral:rRNA from 1 species
UACGUAGGGGGGCUAGCGUUGUCCGGAAUCAUUGGGCGUAAAGAGCGUGUAGGCGGUCCGGUAAGUCCGCUGUGAAAGUCGGGGGCUCAACCUCGAAUGCCGGUGGAUACUGUCGGGCUAGAGUGCGGAAGAGGCGAGUGGAAUUCCUGGUGUAGCGGUGAAAUGCGCAGAUAUCAGGAGGAACACCAAUUGCGAAGGCAGCUCGCUGGGACGUUACUGACGCUGAGACGCGAAAAGCGUGGGGGAGCAAAAAGGG